UUCCAGAACAACCUAGAGAACACCUGAGUA
rnacentral:piRNA from 1 species